UACGGAGGGUGCAAGCGUUAUCCGGAUUCACUGGGUUUAAAGGGAGCGCAGGCGGAUUUGUAAGUCAGUGGUGAAAGGCUUAAGCUUAACUUGGGAACUGCCAUUGAUACUAUAAGUCUUGAAUGUUGUUGAGGUUUGCGGAAUGGGUCAUGUAGCGGUGAAAUGCUUAGAUAUGUUACAGAACACCAAUUGUGAAGACAGCUAACUAAGCGAUGAUUGACGCUGAGGCACGAAAGCGUGGGGAGCAAACAGG
rnacentral:rRNA from 1 species